rnacentral:rRNA from 1 species
AGAUACCCGCGUAGUCCCAGCCGUAAACAAUGUGCGUUAGGUGUGUCGGUAACCACGCGUUUACUGAUUGCGCCGAAGAGAAAUCGUGAAACGCACCACCUGGGAAGUACGGUCGCAAGGCUGAAACUUAAAGGAAUUGCGGGGAGCACCACAACAGGUGGAGCCUGCGGUUUAAUUGGAUUACAACGCCGGACAUCUCACCGGAUAGGACAGCUGAAUGAUUGUCAAUCUGAAGGUUUUACAUGACUAGCUG